UACAGAGGUCUCAAGCGUUGUUCGGAUUCAUUGGGCGUAAAGGGUGCGUAGGCGGCGCGGUAAGUCGGGUGUGAAAUCUUGGAGCUUAACUCCGAAACUGCAUUCGAUACUGCCGUGCUUGAGGACUGGAGAGGAGACUGGAAUUUACGGUGUAGCGGUGAAAUGCGUAGAGAUCCGGAAGAACACCGGUGGCGAAGGCGGCCUGCUGGGCAGUUGCUGACACUGGAGGCGCGACAGCGUGGGGAGCGAACGGGAUUGAGAAACCCGGGUAGG
rnacentral:rRNA from 1 species